CCUACGGGAGGCAGCAGUGAGGAAUAUUGGUCAAUGGGCGGGAGCCUGAACCAGCCAAGUCGCGUGAGGGAAGACGGUCCUAUGGAUUGUAAACCUCUUUAGGCGGGGAGCAAUGCCGGGCACGCGUGCCCGGAGGGAGAGUACCCGCAGAAUAAGCAUCGGCUAACUACGUGCCAGCAGCCGCGGUAAUACGGAGGAUGCGAGCGUUAUCCGGAUUUAGUGGGUUUAAAGGGUGCGUAGGCGGAUUUUUAAGUCAGCGGUAAAAUGUCCGGGCUCAACCCGGGCCGGCCGUUGAAACUGGGGAUCUUGAGUGGGCGAGAAGUAUGCGGAAUGCGUGGUGUAGCGGCGAAAUGCAUAGAUAUCACGAAGAACUCCGAUUGCGAAGGCAGCAUACCGGCGCCCGACUGACGCUGAGGCACGAAAGCGUGGGGAUCGAACAGGAUUAGAUACCCGGGUAGUC
rnacentral:rRNA from 1 species